CAUCGAGCUACAGCUAUGGGCCAGGCUCGGGGCUGCAGGUGUUCGUCCUCGUGGCCCUUCCUGGCUGGCGAGGAGAAGAGCUGCCUAUGGGACAGAGCUGCGGUCCUGAGCUGCAGUAGCGCCUGGGAGGCACUACAGGGCAGCUGACACCCUAGCUGUACGCCAGAAGCGGCGGAUUUACGACAUUACCAAUGUUUUGGAAGGUAUCGGGCUAAUCGAGAAAAAGUCCAAGAACAGCAUCCAGUGGAAGUGAGUGGGCAUAGUGGGAGGGUAGUAGAGUCUCCCACCCAGAAGUGUCGGGCGUGGGGUGGAGGGUGCCGAAGAAGGCAGGGGCCAUGGGACCCAGAGUUCUCAGCAGUCCCUCUCAGCCCCACUCCCUGGGCUCAGGGGUGUGGGGCCUGGCUGCAAUACCCGGGAGAUUGCUGACAAACUGAUUGAG
rnacentral:sRNA from 1 species